rnacentral:rRNA from 1 species
UACGUAGGGCGCAAGCGUUGUCCGGAAUUAUUGGGCGUAAAGAGCUCGUAGGCGGCCAGUUGCGUCUGCUGUGAAAUCCCGGGGCUCAACCCCGGGCGUGCAGUGGAUACGGGCUGGCUAGAGGCAGGCAGGGGAGAACGGAAUUCCCGGUGUAGCGGUGAAAUGCGCAGAUAUCGGGAGGAACGACCGGUGGCGAAGGCGGUUCUCUGGGCCUGUACUGACGCUGAGGAGCGAAAGCGUGGGGAGCGAACAGG